UACGGGGGGGAGCAAGCGUUGUUCGGAUUUACUGGGCGUAAAGAGCGUGUAGGCGGCCAUGUAGGUCCGGUGUGAAAACUCGAGGCUUAACCUCGAGAUGUCAUCGGAAACCAUUUGGCUAGAGUCCGGGAGAGGGAUGCGGAAUUCCAGGUGUAGCGGUGAAAUGCGUAGAUAUCUGGAGGAACACCGGUGGCGAAGGCGGCAUCCUGGACCGGCAUUGACGCUGAGGCGCGAAAGCUAGGGGAGCAAACGGGG
rnacentral:rRNA from 1 species